GUGCAUUGGUGGGGGCUUGUGAGCUCCCCCCCCAAUGUAAGAAUGUGAAUUCUUAAAAUACCUUUAAUCCAAAAUAGUUAUCUUCUGGGAAUUUGAACUGUGGAUGCAAGUUGGCAAUUGGGUACCCCAGAAGGGGAUGUUUUACACUUACAUUUUUUUAUAUGAAAAUAUUUAGUUCAUUUUAAUUCAACAAAAACUUUUUAGAGACCUAAUUUGUGAAGGUGAUUUUGACUAUCCAAGAUGCUACUUUUUGAGAACUAAAAAUAUCAUCAAAGCAGAAAAUGGAUAAACCAGUAUUUUCAAAAUUAUUUGGCAAACAAAACUCUUUGGAAUGUGAAAUUACUUGAAGAUUUACCUCCAGAGCAUCCCAGCACUUCAACAAGCCUCCAAAAGGAUAUUAUACUUCAGUUGUUUUCUUGACUUUAAUCUUAUAUAAAUAGAACACCUAAUACUCCCAAACAGAAAUACCUUUAAAAGUAAUAUACUUUGAUUAUUUUAAAUGUUUAAAAAGUUGAAACAAUUAUAUCAUCCACAAAUGAUUGUCAACCUUCUUCCAUAUAAGACCUUCAAAUAGCAAAUAUUUGUUAUGUAUAGAAUAGACAUGCUUAAUACUUAAUAUGUGUAAUACAAGUGCUACAUGAACAUUUUAACAAUUUUCCCCAAUGGCAUUUAUAAAUCAGAUAACUUAAAAAAAACUUUGAAAAGUUUAUCUUACAAAGAGUGUGAUUAUUGUCACUGUAGUUUCAAGAGUAAAAUGGAACAUUGUGGAAAUAUACGUUUUAAUUGUGAAUGGUUUAUACUGAAAGUUUGAGAGAAGCAACUGUAUCUUAGAAGAGUAGCUACUAUUUUUCCUUCAUCAUGGCUGGAGAGAAGCUGGAAAAGACAAGGAAAAAGAAAAGGGAGAGAUUUUUUUUGGUGUGUGUUUUUAAACUUUAUCUGUGAAAAAGAUUAAAAAAAUUAAAUUAUGUAGAAUUAUGUUUUCAGAAGUACAGAGAGAGAAUUCACCUGUCAAUAGUGAUGAUCUGAAAUAAUGUAGUUAAGAUAAUUCUCACAGUAAAAAUAUUAUAAAUAAUCA